rnacentral:rRNA from 1 species
GUGUCAGCAGCCGCGGUAAGACGAAGGGGGCUAGCGUUGUUCGGAAUUACUGGGCGUAAAGCGCGUGUAGGCGGUUGUCCAAGUUGGAUGUGAAAGCCUUGAGCUUAACUCAAGAAAUGCAUUCAGGACUGGAUGACUAGAGGACCGGAGAGGAUAGUGGAAUUCCCAGUGUAGUGGUGAAAUACGUAGAGAUUGGGAAGAACACCAGUGGCGAAGGCGGCUAUCUGGACGGUUUCUGACGCUAAGACGCGAAAGCGUGGGGAGCAAACAGGAUUAGAAACCCGAGUAGUCC